rnacentral:rRNA from 1 species
GACAGAGGGUGCGAACGUUGCUCGGAAUUACUGGGCGUAAAGCGCGUGUAGGCGGGUGAUCAAGUCAGGUGUGAAAUCCCUGGGCUCAACCCAGGAACUGCACUUGAAACUGGUUGCCUUGAGUGUUGGAGAGGGAAGCGGAAUUCCUGGUGUAGAGGUGAAAUUCGUAGAUAUCAGGAGGAACACCGGUGGCGAAGGCGGCUUCCUGGACAACUACUGACGCUGAGACGCGAAAGCGUGGGGAGCAAACAGG